CCCAGUGUGGUGUAAUGGUUUGAGUGAUGGACUAUGACUCUGGAGACUAGGGUUCAAAUCCCUCUUCAGGCA